rnacentral:rRNA from 1 species
UCGGGAAUUUUUGUCAAUGGGCGAAAGCCUGAACGAGCGACACCGCGUGAACGACGAAGAUCUUAGGAUUGUAAAGUUCUUUUGCUUGAGAAGAACACGGUUGCGACAACAUCAAUACCGUUUGACGGUACCAAGCGAAUAAGCUCCAGCCAACUACGUGCCAGCAGCUGCGGUAAUACGUAGGGAGCAAGCGUUAUCCGGAAUUACUGGGUGUAAAGGGUGCGUAGGUGGUUUCUUAAGUCAGAGGUGAAAGGCUACGGCUCAACCGUAGUACGCCUUUGAAACUGGGAAACUUGAGUGCAGGGGAGGAGAGUGGAAUUCCGAGUGUAGCGGUGAAAUGCGUAGAUAUUAGGAGGAACACCAGUGGCGAAGGCGGCUUUCUGGACUGUAACUGACGCUGAAGCACGAAAGCGUGGGGAGCAAACA